GACGAACGCUGGCGGCGUGCUUAACACAUGCAAGUCGAACGGAAAGGCCCUGCUUUUGUGGGGUGCUCGAGUGGCGAACGGGUGAGUAACACGUGAGUAACCUGCCCUUGACUUUGGGAUAACUUCAGGAAACUGGGGCUAAUACCGGAUAGGAGCUCCUGCUGCAUGGUGGGGGUUGGAAAGUUUCGGCGGUUGGGGAUGGACUCGCGGCUUAUCAGCUUGUUGGUGGGGUAGUGGCUUACCAAGGCUUUGACGGGUAGCCGGCCUGAGAGGGUGACCGGCACAAUGGGACUGGGGUACGGCCCAGGCCGCUACGGGGGGCAAGAGUGGGGGAUAUUGGACAAUGGGGCGAAGCCUGAAUCAAGAACGCCGGGGGGGGGAAGACCGCCUUCGGGUUGUAAACCGCUUUCGCCUGUGACGAAGCGUGAGUGACGGUAAUGGGUAAAGAAGCACCGGCUAACUACGUG
rnacentral:rRNA from 1 species